CUGGCUCAGGACGAACGCUGGCGGCGUGCCUAAUACAUGCAAGUCGAGCGAAUCAAAGGGAGCUUGCUCCCAGAGAUUAGCGGCGGACGGGUGAGUAACACGUGGGCAACCUGCCCUGUAGACAGGGAUAACACCGAGAAAUCGAUGCUAAUACCGGAUAACACCUUUCUUCUCAUGGAGGAAGGUUAAAAGUUGGGAUUACUAACACUACAGGAUGGGCCCGCGGCGCAUUAGCUAGUUGGUAAGGUAAUGGCUUACCAAGGCGACGAUGCGUAGCCGACCUGAGAGGGUGAUCG
rnacentral:rRNA from 1 species